CUCGGGGCUAAUUAUAGCUAGUCUGGGGGAGGGGCGAGGUAACCUUGGCCUCCCCUCCCCAGCCCUUCCAGCCGCCAGGGUGACUGGGGAAUGGGGACGGGGACCUGUGACCCCCUGUUGAACCCAGCUCUGGACAGCUGGGCCAAGCGCCCCCACCCCGGCCACCCCCGCGGGGUGCAACCUCGGAGGAGGAACAGGGGGCGCUCCAGGUUGAACCGCGGGCCCAGGGCCCAGCCAGGCUGUGGGAAGGAGGCGGGCGGAUUCUAGUUCAGGGCAACUGCUUCCACGCUACAGGAUGCUUGCUUCCCGCCCUCCUCCCUCGUUGCUACCGAUCAGGAUAGGCUGAUACAGGCUAUUCCAUCACCUUCCAAGGCCUAAGGUCCCAGGGCCGAGCUUGGUACCUAACAAUAGUGAAGAAUAAUAACCGGCACUGGGAUGACUUGACAUCCAGAUGUUUGCAGCUUUGGGCCCUCCGUAAAUAUUAGUCACAUUCAUCCCCCUGCUCCUUGGGUGCUUACCAUGUGCCUGGAACAGUUCUGAGCAACUUACAGGAUUGUCACCAGGCAGAUAUUAGCACCUUUCUUGCCUGGAAUGCAAAACUUAAGGAGGCCCUCACAGAUCCAGCCAGCAAGGCUCACGUGCUGCUGGCCCAGAGUGUGAAAGCCUUCCGUGAACGUCUCAGAAAAGAAUCGUCCUCCAAGUCAGAAACUCCAGGUGUGAGAGGGAGAGCGAGGCCAAGGGUGGAGGUCCAAGUUCACGGGAUGGUAGGCAGUCACAGCCUCCAGGGAGAGCCAGGGGGCAAGGUAUUUUCUUUUUGGUUGCCACGUUUUGGGGCUGAGGUCUGGAAAGUGUGGACUGCACUGGUUAUGGGUGUGGUCUCUUCACGGGUGACCCUGAUUGUAUUUUCUUUGAUUGUAGUUUCUUUUUUUCCUGCACAAAUUUUCCAGGGUCUGGAAAUAGCAGGUGCUCAUUCAAUGGUCUGGAACAUCCCUUAAGCAUUUAAUUAGUCAACAAAUAUUACAUGUAUGUCAGACACUGUCCUAGGUGCUGGGAGGAAGUAGUGAAAAGAAGAGAAUGAAAGUCUCGGUUUCCAAGAGCUGACCUUGUACAUUAAAAAAUAAACAAGUAAGAUGUACAGUGGGUCAGACAGUAGUGAGAACUAAGGGGAAAAAAUCAAGCAGCAAAGGAGAAUGAGGAUGUAUAGAGAGGUACAUCUUAGACAGGGUGGUCAGGGGAAGCCCUGGUGAGAAGGUGGCAUUUGAGCAGAGACUAAAGUUGGGGGUGGGGAGCAGGCACAGACGGCAUAGCAUGUGCAAAGCUCCUGGGGCAGAGAUGGUGCCUGACCUGUUGGAGGAACAGUGAGGAGGCCCAUGUGGCUUGAACAGAGUGAGAGAGGAGAGAGGUCAGGGAGGGAAUGGGAGUAGGUCAUAUAUGGCCUUGUGGGUCUCAAGGAGGACUUUGGCUUCUACCCUAAGCCAGGUUCAAGCUCUGGAGGGUUGCAAGCAGAGGAGGGGAUGGUCCCGACUAAGGUGCUCACAGGAACCAUCUGUGGAGGACAGACUGAGGGG
rnacentral:lncRNA from 9 species